CGGAGGGUGCAAGCGUUAUCCGGAUUCACUGGGUUUAGAGGGAGCGCAGGCGGAUUUGUAAGUCAGUGGUGAAAGGCUUAAGCUUAACUUGGGAACUGCCAUUGAUACUAUAAGUCUUGAAUGUUGUUGAGGUUUGCGGAAUGGGUCAUGUAGCGGUGAAAUGCAUAGAUAUGACCCGGAACACCUAUUGCGAAGGCAGCAGGCUAAACAAAUAUUGACGCUGAGGCUCGAAAGCGUGGGGAUCAAACAGGAUUAGAUACCCUGGUAGUCCACGCCCUAAACUAUGAUUACUCGACAUAUGCGAUACACUGUAUGUGUCUGAGCGAAAGCAUUAAGUAAUCCACCUGGGAAGUACGACCGCAAGGUUG
rnacentral:rRNA from 1 species